GAGCGGCGAACGGGUGAGUAACACGUGAGUAACCUGCCCUGGACUUUGGGAUAACCCUCGGAAACGGGGGCUAAUACCGGAUACGACUGCCGAUCGCAUGGUUGGUGGUGGAAAGUUUUUCGGUCUGGGAUGGGCUCGCGGCCUAUCAGCUUGUUGGUGGGGUGAUGGCCUACCAAGGCGACGACGGGUAGCCGGCCUGAGAGGGCGACCGGCCACACUGGGACUGAGACACGGCCCAGACUCCUACGGGAGGCAGCAGUGGGGAAUAUUGCACAAUGGGCGGAAGCCUGAUGCAGCGACGCCGCGUGAGGGAUGACGGCCUUCGGGUUGUAAACCUCUUUCAGCAGGGACGAAGCGAGAGUGACGGUACCUGCAGAAGAAGCGCCGGCCAACUACGUGCCAGCAGCCGCGGUAAGACGUAGGGCGCGAGCGUUGUCCGGAUUUAUUGGGCGUAAAGAGCUCGUAGGCGGCUUGUCGCGUCGUCCGUGAAAACUUGGGGCUCAACCCCAAGCUUGCGGUCGAUACGGGC
rnacentral:rRNA from 1 species